AAUGAUGCUUUUGCUCUUGAGUGCAUGACACUGGUGAAAGGUCAUUACAGUAUUUUAUUCUUGUUUGGAUUUAGAGGUGUAUGGUCCCUUCAAGGCAGCAGAAAAAGGUGAGGCAGAAGGCUUAUCGCAGGAAGUGCUAAAUCAUCUUGUGGACAGAAACGGCUCUGCUGGAUUUACAGAGAGUCAAAUAUUUACACAAGCUGUUGUACGUCACCCAUCCCUGGCACUUCAGACCAGACCAUCUCUCACUGUCUCCUCAUCUCCACAGCGGCCAGACGGCUGUGAGGCCACUGGAUGGAGGGAGUGCAAUGAGCUGUCUUUUUUCUAAUGAAUAGCGCUGAUAUCCUGUGAGUGACCUGUCAGAUGUGACAGGCGAGACGUGAGGGAUUGUUCAAAGACACUAAAAAAAGCAACAACACAAAAGCCUGAGCUUCAAGAGCAUCUCCAGACCACAACAAAACAGCAGUAAGUGCAC